rnacentral:tRNA from 1 species
UCCUCUGUAGUUCAGUCGGUAGAACGGCGGCCUGUGAAUCCGUAUGUCACUGGUUCGAGUCCAGUCAGAGGAGCCA